rnacentral:misc_RNA from 1 species
UCCAGGGUUUGACAUCCUGCGACCGCCUCGUAACGGAGGUUUUCCCGCAAGGGACGCAGAGACAGGUGCUGCAUGGCUGUCGUCAGCUCGUGUCGUGAGAUGUUGGGUUAAGUCCCGCAACGAGCGCAACCCUCGCCUUUAGUUGCCAUCAUUCAGUUGGGCACUCUAGAGGGACCGCCGGCGACAAGCCGGAGGAAGGUGGGGAUGACGUCACUUACAGCGUAC